CUCGUCGUUUUAGUAAUUGGCGCAAUGCUGCCACCUGUCGAGUUGGAGUGAGAAGAGCCAAAAGGAGGGGAAACGAAACAUUUCUUUUAAUGGCGGUACUCACGACAUAAACCAAUGUAUCUUCUCAACAACAACAACAACAACAACAUCAUGUCUCUUUGUGUGUCCACGUCAAGUUUAUAUUCUGAAUCUCCCCACUGAGACGUUCAGUCUUUGUCCUUUGUUCAAAAAGAAAAGUUCCUCCCAUCUUCCAGUUUCCGUUUCCUCCCUAGUUCUUUUUUUUGUUUCAACAUUUCUCAGACAGUCCUCACUGUGACGCCUAGUCACAUGGCGCAAAGAGAGUCUCCUGAUUGGGCGGCCUAAGCAACGGGCCUUCAACUCCUGCUUGAUCCGCAUCAACAUCUUAUGGUGACUGGGCACAUGAUGACUUUGUCCUCCAACAUGACGCUGACGACCAGGAAGACAAAGUAGAGCAGGAACAUGAGUAAGCCCAGAAACUUGCUCAUUUUCCACUUGCAAGCCGCGAUGGAAAUGAUGACGAAGAGGAGCAUGAGGAAGAGGAGGACGA